CGUUCUCUCUUUCCGGACCUGGCCGAGCAGGAGGCGCCAUCAUGGGAGUGGACAUCCGCCACAACAAGGACCGAAAGGUUCGGCGCAAGGAGCCCAAGAGCCAGGAUAUCUACCUGAGGCUGUUGGUUAAGGUGAGGCUGGGCCCUGAGGUCUUUGGGAAGGGUCACCCCAGGUCUGACUUGCAGAUCCUCCAUUCUAGUGCUGGCACCAAGCUCCUCCCAGGGGCCUGCAGAGCAGUCUCCGGUCUCUGGUUCUGUUCCAGGGUGUCCUGCAUUUGUAUUUUCAGCCUCUAGACUGUGUACAGCUCGGGAGUGGAGCCAGGAUUUUCUAGGUCCUUGGCCAGGAAGGACCUGGGCCAGCUUUCUCCCUCUAGGUCGGUGGGUUGGGGGAAAGGGAUAAAGAUUCUUUUAGUCCAGAUCAUCAUGUGUUUGCCCCUUCACUGGAAGGCUGCGGGGGAGCAGCCUGUCCCAGCUUCUCACUGUCUUCCCGUCCCUCCAGUUAUACAGGUUUCUGGCCAGAAGAACCAACUCCACAUUCAACCAGGUUGUGUUGAAGAGGUUGUUUAUGAGUCGCACCAACCGGCCGCCUCUGUCCCUUUCCCGGAUGGUGAGUGGCUGGUCCAGAGAGCACAGUAGACCUGGGAGCCGCUGGGUCUUGUCUGUCUGGAAGGGAGGCAGGACUUGGAGCUCUGGGAGCAACCGGGGCAUCAAGGGUUUGUCUCAGCCAGUCACGAGCGUAGAGCUUGGACUGUUGGUUGGAACUGA
rnacentral:sRNA from 1 species